rnacentral:rRNA from 1 species
GAUGAACGCUGGCGGCAUGCCUAAUACAUGCAAGUCGAACGGAUAUCUUCGGAUAUCAGUGGCGAACGGGUGAGUAACACGUAGAUAACCUGCCCAUACCCGGGGGAUACGCUUUGGAAACGAAGUCUAAAACCCCAUAGGAAAGAAGAAGGCAUCUUCUUCUUUUGAAACAGGCGUUUGCCUGGGGGACGGAUGGAUCUGCGGUGCAUUAGUUAGUUGGCGAGGUAACAGCUCACCAAGACGAUGAUGCAUAGCCGGCCUGAGAGGGCGAUCGGCCACACUGGGACUGAGACACGGCCCAGACUCCUGCGGGAGGCAGCAGUAGGGAAUUUUCGUCAAUGGGCGCAAGCCUGAACGAGCAAUGCCGCGUGAGCGAAGAAGGUCUUCGGAUCGUAAAACUCUGUUGCGGGGGAAAAAGGAAGGGAAGAGGAAAUGCUUUUCUUUUGAUGGUACCCCGCCAGAAAGUCACGGCUAACUACGUGCCAGCCGCCGCCGUAAAAC